rnacentral:rRNA from 1 species
GAUGAACGCCGGCGGCGUGCCUAAUACAUGCAAGUCGAGCGAACAGACGAGGAGCUUGCUCCUCUGACGUUAGCGGCGGACGGGUGAGUAACACGUGGAUAACCUACCUAUAAGACUGGGAUAACUUCGGGAAACCGGAGCUAAUACCGGAUAAUAUAUUGAACCGCAUGGUUCAAUAGUGAAAGACGGUUUUGCUGUCACUUAUAGAUGGAUCCGCGCCGCAUUAGCUAGUUGGUAAGGUAACGGCUUACCAAGGCAACGAUGCGUAGCCGACCUGAGAGGGUGAUCGGCCACCCUGGAACUGAGACACGGUCCAGACUCCUACGGGAGGCAGCAGUAGGGAAUCUUCCGCAAUGGGCGAAAGCCUGACGGAGCAACGCCGCGUGAGUGAUGAAGGUCUUCGGAUCGUAAAACUCUGUUAUUAGGGAAGAACAAAUGUGUAAGUAACUAUGCACGUCUUGACGGUACCUAAUCAGAAAGCCACGGCUAACUACGUG